CUGCUAAGCUUGUACACACUGCAGUGGGGUGAGGAGUACAGAAGGGCAGGAAGAAGAAAGCAGUAGUGGUAUGGGGAAAGAGAAGAAUGACAGAAGGAGACAGCUGGAAGGAGUGGGAUUGGUUGCGAUAUUUAAAAAUAUAAAACCUUAGUGCAAGUAAGAGCUGUGAUGCUAGAUCAAAAUGAUUUGGAUUAUGCAAUGCAUGCGGUGCAAAGAAGAGGAAAACCACAGUCUCAUCAUGCAGAAACAGCUUACUCCUUUGUAUAGCAAAAGGUCAAACUGCUUUGCUUUUGGGAAAAUACAGGCAGAUGUAUAUAUUAUAGAUGAUAACCUUUAGCUAAGUUGUAAGCCUUGUGCUUGUUAAAUUAUUGAUAGUACAUUGGAGGUUCAUGAAAGCCAUGUUUAACAUGCUGAGUUCAAAUAAAAUGGCCUGUGAAAAUGGUUUUCAUAAAACGUAAUACAAAGUACAAAUAUUGAUACAGAGAUCAAGAAGAUGAAACAUUCCUUUUUUAUUAAACAGGUUAUUGCAUCUAAAAUAGCACCGAAGCCCACUGAAAACUGGGAGAAGAAAAUUAACUACAUUAUUGCUGUGAAAUAUCUCUUCAAACUUGUAUUUGCAUCAGAAAGUUCACUGAGGGUUUCCUCUCUUUAAAAAUUCAGUUGAAAUGCUGCUUAGAGAGCUCCUAACUACAGAAUGAUAUAAGUAGCUUUAAAGGAAAUGAUGAGCUGAUUCUUGACUGAUGUAAAUCACCAGAGCUCUGCUAGAGUAAGUGGAAACCUGCUCAAUGGACAGUUCUAAUUUCAAAUAAGAUACAGGCUGCAGGUCCGCCAAAAUAGUUUCCAUGCACUUUCUUUAAACCGCGGUGAGAAAAGGAAAAUUGGCUUUUCCACCCCUCUGGUUUCUGUGGGUGCCUCUUGUGAGAUGGCUCGCUGAUGGGGCAGAAGGAAAUGCAAAAACAUACCUUCCUUUUUGUCACACGCGGGUAAAUCACAGGCAGAAUUUGAAGGGCUGCACUGCUGCAGGAAAGCAGAGGGAGCACAUGGCUGCACGCAGAGCUGCCUCGUCUCAGGGUGGUUUGCCAGCACCUUCUGUGCCAGGCAGGAGGUCUACCUGGCUUGGUAAUUCAUCUGUGAGGUUUAGCCAUUGAUUUCCGUUAUAUUCUGUACAAAUAAUCUGUGUUCUGUGUAAGUAAAUCAAGGCUGAUUUCUGACAGCCCUAAGAUGACUUGUUGCUAACUGCCAAAAUCCGGCUUCUCUGCAGCCAAGCCUGUCCAGCUGCCAUCUGCGUCAGCCUGGGUUUUAUGGUGGCUCUUUGCAGCAGCUAGAAGCUCCAACCUCUCCCCAGGUGGACUUUUAAUGUGCUCCUGAAUUAUUAACAGCACCAAAUUUCAGACACAAAACCACUUUGCACCCAUUAGAGCGGCUCUGUGCAUUGAACCGACAUCUACAUGAUGCUCCUUCCCAACAAGUCUGUAUGUAAAUGAGGAACCCACUGCAAUUCUCAAUUUCGAGUCAUAGAACAGCCUUCAGCACCAGCAGCUGAUGACUUAACACGGUUUAAUUGGCUUGGGAGCAUUCCCAGGCCACUGCUGAAAUGAAAUAUGCGCACAACUUCAGGCUCACUCAAUGACAACCAAAAAUUUUUAGGUUGCCAGGCCUGGGGAGAUUUCUCUGCGGAGCAGGGCUGCUUCUUCAAAAGCAGUGAUGUUCUUCUGGAGGCUAGGGAAAAAAAAAAGUCAUAUUUUUGCAUAAUCACAGCUUUCAGUAGAACAAAAUUCAUGGCUCUGUGGGAAAUCACAAAACAAAAAGUCUUAGCAAGCAUGAAGUCCUCAGUGCACUGACAUGUUAAUAUAAGAGAAAAAUUGCCUUGCACAAAAGGGACCACGAGGGCUGCUGAUACCAUUUUUCUCUUGCUGGGUCUUUAUUCAAGUUCUUGUCACAGUUACUACAGUUUGAAGGUCUCUGUGAACAGCUCAGCUCAAAGCCCUGCCUCCUCCUGUUGCUCAGCCCUCCUGCAGCAGAGGCCUCUCACCUGCUGAGAAUCCAAGACCCACCUCUCCACCCCUGAGCUGCAAACUGCUGCACUCUUCCUAUCCAACUGAGUAGUUGUCCAGAGAAGUGGUGGAUGCCCCGUCCCUGGAGACAUUCAAUGUCAAGC
ensembl:lncRNA